UGGGGAAUAUUGGGCAAUGGGCGAAAGCCUGACCCAGCAACGCCGCGUGGAGGAAGAAGGUUUUCGGAUCGUAAACUCCUGUCCUCAGGGAAGAGAAGGAGACGGUACCUGAGGAGGAAGCCCCGGCUAACUACGUGCCAGCAGCCGCGGUAACACGUAAGGUGCGAGCGUUGUUCGGAAUCAUUGGGCGUAAAGGGCAUGUAGGCGGUCUGUCAAGCCAGGCGUGAAAGCCAGGGGCUCAACCCCUGAACUGCGCUUGGAACUGGCGGACUGGAGUCGCUGAGGGGGAACCGGAAUUCCUGGUGUAGGGGUGAAAUCUGUAGAUAUCAGGAAGAACACCGAUGGCGAAGGCAGGUUUCCAGCAGACGACUGACGCUGAGGUGCGAAGGUGCGGGGAGC
rnacentral:rRNA from 1 species